ensembl:lncRNA
CAAGAGGAAAAUAACAUUUUUUGACCACCCAAAAGAAAUCCCUCUCUUGAAACAUAUUGCCGCCUAGUUGAGAAAGAUGUACAUAAUCUCCUGGCUAAGAAAAAAUAAUACAAGGUAUUCCACAAUAUGUCCAAAGCAGAGAAAUAAUCUCUUAUGUGACUGAAAAAUGACUCCAGUAUCCUUAUAAAACCUGCCGACAAAGGAGGUGCAAUAGUGAUCCUAAAUGUAGCAGACUAUGCAAAGGACAUUCUGAGACAAAUUCUGAGACAACUUAGUGAUGCUGACUCCCAAAGUACCCUACUAAUCAAUUAAAGUCUCUGAUCCAUGAUAUAUUGUCAACCUUUUUGAAUGAAGGGGAAAUUACAAAGACAGAAUAUGACUAGAUUGAAGUUGACUGUCCAACCGCACCUGUCAUAGACGCUCUACCCAAAAUUCACAAGAUCAUGACACCACCUAUACCAGGCAGGCCCAUUGUGAGCAGUAAUGGAUCUCUGACAGAGAAUAUCUCUCCCUUUUGUAGACCAUUUUGUGAAACCCUGGGCGAUCUCCCUCCCCACGUAUACUAGAGACUCUAUUGAUUUUAUAAAUUUUUUGAAAUCUGUGGACUAUAUACCUGAAAAUUCUAUUUUGUGUAUUUUUGAUGUUACCAGGUCUAUAUACACCCCCAUCAGGGCGGCCUAGAGGCCCUCAUGUUCUACCUCAAUGAAAGUCCCCCUAAUGCUCUACCCAGCACCAAUUGUAUUGUGGACAUGGCUGAACUGGUACUAACCUCAAACUAUUUUCUCUUCAGAGGAGACUUCUUCCUCCAGACCAAAAGGACAGUGAUGGGGAGCACUAUGGCUCCUAAUUAUACUAACCUAUAUCUAGGAAUGUUUGAAAAACAGGUGGUGCUGAAUCCAGACCUUAACCCUUUUCUCUCCAAUAUUCUCCAAAUUCUGAGAAAUUUGAAUGACAUUUUCAUAAUCUAUACUGGGACCCAGGAAGAACUUUUGGAGUUCCAUGCUUAGCUAAACUCUAUGAAUGAACACCUUCACUUCAGCAUUAACUAUGACCUAUCACAAAUCAAUUUUCUUCAUGUGAUGGUUAAUUAAGGGCAAAACACCCCUCUCUACAGUUCUCUAUGGGAAACCUACGGACAAGAAUACCCUCCUUAGAGGUGUCAGCUUUCAUCCACGUCAACAUAAAGAAAUGUAGCCUAAUUAUUAAUUCAUAUAUUUAGUUAACAUUAGACAGUUAAUCCAGAGAUUCUUACCUACGCAUCGAUUCGGCAGUCUCGCACCAGAUCAUCAUGGCAUUUGUAGUUCUUUAUGAUAGCCACAUUAGCAGCUAAUUAGCAUUUCAUUUUUGGGGGGUAAAUACAUGCGAAUAUAUUGAUAAAAGUCAGCUUGUCCUAGAGAGAUUUACACAGUUAUCAAAACGUCACGUUAGGGUAACCCUACAUGAAACACAGCCCUUAUUUUAAGUGUUUCUAAAAUCUAUGGGGAAAAUGAAUGGUGGAAAAACUACUAUUGGAACCAUUUCCCUGUUUGACCUCUGAGUUUUAUGGGUAUUAUGACUCACACUGUGGUACUCUAUAGUCCACUCAGUAACAGUAAAAGGGCUCUCCAAACCUUUUCCUGGAGAGAUACCCUUCUGUAGGUCUUCGCUACAACCCCAGUUGUAACGAUUCAGUUUAUCAACCAGCUAAUUAUUAGAAUCAUGUGUACUAGAUUAGGGUGGCUGCAGUUCUGCAGCUGUGAGCUGGAACCUGGGGCUGACUAUAUUCAACCUGUUUGAAAAUGAUCAGGACACCGCAAGUGCCCGUGAGAGCCAAUAACCUCAAAUCGGUAUGUGAUUACACUUUACGAGCUGCGGCGUUACAUUUUACUCCGGGUUUGCUCUGAUUUCCUCCGACUUGGAAAAAUACGCCAAGAGCUGAUCGGGAGCCAUAGAUCGGAAGUGCCGGGAAGUCGGGAAAGAACAAGUUCAGACUAGGAUACAUUUGAAAGGUCAUCGAACUCGGAAUUCAAAAUCUUUCUCUUUGAUAACAACAUUUAUCCACAAAGAAUUGUUGCGCCACCCUGUUCAAGUGAGCACAUCACAACAAGGUGAGUCCAAAAAGGUCUUAUAUGCUGCUGCAUAAAUUAUGUAAUAUGCCAGGGAGAUAUGUAUACAGUAGCUAAGAAACGAAUACUAAGUGUAUGUUGUGUAGGAAGCUGUUAGUAGCCCAUGUGCCUCAUCCUAAUAAUUUGGCCUAUUUUCACCUCUUAAUUUUGCUUAACGUUACUGUUUCUGACUCGGUGGUGCACAUGUAGCCUAUAACCUGUUUUUUGAGCAAUGUCAUCAUCUAAUAUUGUAAGAGCUUUCAUUGACAGCUUAUAUGCCCCCUUUAUUUAUCCUAUGAUUCUGACUUGGUGUACAGGGAAUGUUCUGCAUUCUGUCACUGUACAUUUCAAAAGUGCUGAACACAUAGUUAUAUUGACUAUGUCUUAGUUCGCUCAUUAAUGUCUUAAUUGAAAUUACGGAAUGCCUCUUAUCCACUCAUCGUUCCCUUAUGCCAUCUCAAUUGUCAGUAGAAACCAUAUUUGUUUAAACAAGUCAGCCAUAUCAGCUACGUUUUUUAAAAAGGCAGUAAAUGAGGCUAAAUGAACUGUUUCACUGCCAGACAAGGCUCUGCUGACAGCCAGGUGUAGCGGUGGUAAGGAUUCACUCCAUUGUGCUGGAAAGAAAGCUCUGCUGUUGGGACAGCUUUAUGUAGGCCCUAAGAGUUUUGUGGGCACCACUUGUCACCAUUAUAGUGCAAUUAAUGUAUUGUUUAGUGUUGUGUUGUGUAGUGGUCUUUGCUGCCAUAUACACCUAAAAAAAUGUCUUUGAGUUUACCCCACCAAGAUUUACAUGCUAAAAUCGCCACUGUGUACAGUCAUUGUUUAAAGUCUCAGUAAGCUAAUUUGUGAUACAGUGAAGGUUAAUACACAUAUAGGUGAAUUUGUCCCAAUACUUUUGGUCCUCUAAAAUGGGGGGACUAUGUACAUAAAGUUCUGUAAUUUCUAAACAGUUCACCCGAUAUGGAUGAAAAUACCCUCAAAUGAAAGCUGACAGUCUGCUCUUCAAUUAUAUCAUUGUAUCAUUUCAAAUCCAAAGUGCUGGAGUACAGAGCCAAAACAACAACAAAAAGUGCCACUGUUCCAAUGCUUUUGGAGCGCACUGUAUGUUAGCUCUAAUGAUACAUUAGAUCAUGUAUUGAAUAUUUAACCACCCUGUAGUGACAUUCAUGAAUGGCUUGAUACAGUUUUAUGAAUGGCUUGAUACAGUUUUAUGAAUGGCUUGAUACAGUUUUAUGAAUGACUUGAUACGGAUUUCUCCAUACCCACUUUGAAGUAAUGGUUUACACAAAAAUGCAUGAAAUAAAUGUUCUUUACACUGAAUUGUUUUGACAUUUACAAAAACAGUCCCAAUCUGAUGGUGGACACCACAUUUGCAGUGCCAGCCUUUCAUGAUUAUGCUUACAAUGGUGACUGGCAGAUAAUUACAACUUGGGUUUUUUUCUUGAUAAUUUAUUCUGUUAAACACUGCUUCUUUGUAUAGUUGCAGACCGUUGCCCUGACGGUAUUCAUUAACAGCUAGUUGUAAUCUGUCCUAGUUCCUUAAUUAAACAUCACCCAUUGUAAUGCUCAUUAUGGUUUCUGAUUUUACUUUACAUUUCAGGUCACAGAUGGUACCAGAUAUGUGACUGGUAGCAGGCUUGCUGACAGAGAACAAAUUAAGUUUGUGGUCUUACCUGCAAAAGUUUGGGAAGAUCACAAAAGAGAUGACACCAGCUCAUCGUGUUGACACCCUCAUUGAUUCCCUCCUCUAUUACUUAGCCAGGGUCAGGGCAAGCACUGGAAACACAACUCUGGCGGCAGAAAGUCCUGGAGGAGGAAACCGAGGCAAAGGAGGAGUUGAUGGUGCUGCUAUAGGCAGCAUUCCAGGUUAGAUUCCAUGUGUUUUGCUCAUAUCUUUUGUUUAUAUGUAAUGAUCCCUUUCUCCCAAUUCAAUCAGUUGAAUAUGUCAUAGGCAGCACACUGUCGGACGUAGAAGUUUGAACCCGUCAGAUAAAGGAGACCCUCACAGGCAAGAGGAUGUUGUCCCUGAUACGUGGAAACUCUUGCCCAGCAAGUAGUUGCUACAUCGCUGACCUAAGGUUUUAUCCCAAUCUAUAGACACCCCUUUCUGUCUGACUUAGCCCUGCCAUUCAUGACAGACACGUUCCUAUAGCCUACUGUGCGCUGUGUCUUGGGACCAUCAUCUCUUGGAUCUGCAUAGCUACUCCCUGUUGCUUUAUACUCUGAUCACCACCUCCUGCUAUCACCUGGCAUUUUCCACUACAUAUCCCAGAAACUUAAGUGCUCCCUCCCCUGCUUAGUAAUUUCGUACCUGUAAACAGGUUGAAAAUAGCAGAUUUGGGCACUAAUAAGAGCCUAAAUUGUAAUGUAGUGGCUAUACAGUAACAUGCUAUAUAUGAUGUCAGAGCUCAGGCUCUGCGAUUCAUAGCUCUGUAUGGGUUUUGACUGACAGUUGUUCUGAACUUGAGCACUGCACGCGGCAAGCAGUCCCCCCGGUAAUUAGGCAACUUUUGCACAUUUCUUGUUGUCUGAGUGGGAGAAUGCUUUAAAUGAAAAUGACUCAAUGUAUUUUGAAAGAUAAGACGUGGAUGAUAUAAUAAAUACCACUUCAUACAAGCAUGCCAAACACCCGUGAGUCCAAAAUUGCACUUCACAUUUCCAAAUCUUAAAACUCAUGUCAUAUACAGUGUCAAGAUGACAUGGCAUCAUACCCUGGGUGGUUCUGAACAAAAUGAACCUACGUUUGUUUAUUGUGAAGGAAAUUCGCCGUGGCACACGCACCUGCAACUCAUGACUCCUUUCGAUGCGCGGAAAUACAACUAUGUUGUAUUUCUGUGUUUGGCCUGGUAUGGUUCUCAAUCAGAGGCAGCCGUCGAUCGGUGUCUCUGAUUGAGAAUCAUACUUAGGUAGUGUCACGUUCUGACCUUAGUUCCUUUGUUUUGUCUUUGUUUGAGUAUGGUCAGGGCGUGAGUUGGGUGGGCAGUCUAUGUGUGUUUUUCUCUAUGUUGGCGUUUUGAGUUCGGCCUAGUAUGGUUCUCAAUCAGAGGCAGCUGUCAAUCGUUGUCCCUGAUUGAGAAUCAUACUUAGGUAGCCUGGGUUUCACUUUUGGUUGGUGAGUGUUUGUUUCCGUGUGAGUGUUUGGGCCACACGGUACUGUUUCGGUUUUCGUUUUGUUCACAUCGUUUAUUGUUUUGUAUUUCAGUGUUCAGUUCAUUUUGAAUAAAUCAUCAUGAACACUUACCACGCUGUGCUUUGGUCCGAUCCUUCUUCCACCCAAGACAACCGUUACAGGUAGCCUGGUUGUGGGUGAUUAUUUUCCGUGUCAGUGUUUGCUCCAUACGGGACUGUGUCGGUUUCCAUUUAUUCUCUUAUUCUUUAGUUUUCUGUGUUCAGUUAUAUUUCAUUAAAAUUAUAUUAUGGACAAUUACCACGCUGCGUAUUGGUCCGAUCCUUCCUACUCUUCCUCAGAAGAGGACGAAAACCGUUACCAAGUUAUUUUUAUGGAAAUGGUAUUGUUUGAGUUAGAUUAUAUUAUUAUAUUGUAUUCCAGUUAUGAACUAUACUGAACUAAAAUAUAAACGCAACAUGUAAAGUGUUGGUCCCAUGUUUCAUGAGCUGAAAUAAAAUAUUUCCCAUAUCCACAAAAAAGCUUAUUUCUUUGCACAACUGAAGAAUUUCUGCACAAACUGUCAGAAACUGUCUCAGGGAAGCUCAUCUGCGUGCUUGUCGUCCUCAUCGGGAGUGACUGCAGUUUGGUGUCAGAAAAAUAAGUGUUAAGUAAAAAAUAGAUAUGUAAAAAAGAAAAGCAACAUAAUUAAAGAGCAGUAGCGAGGCUUUAAAGAGUAACAAUAGUGAGGCUAUAAACAGGGGAUACCGGUACAGAGUCAAUGUGCAGGGGCAUCGGUUAGUUGACGUAAUAUGUACAUGUAGGUAGAGUUAAAGUGACUAUGCAUAGAUAAUAAACAGAGAGUAGUAGCAGCGGCCUUAUGCUGUUAAGAAGUCUUUUGGACCUAGACUUGGCGCUCCGGUACUGCUUGCCGUGCGGUAGUUGAGAGAACAGUCUACAAUUUUUAGGGCCUUCCUCUGACACCGCCUGGUAUAGAGGUCCUGGAUGGCAGAAAGCUUGGCCCCAGUGAUGUACUGGGCUGUACGUGUAGCAGUGUGAUGUUGAUUCCCUAGAUUAUGCACCAAGUUGCACACAAUGACCAAUUCAAAUAGGUCAGGUCAAGAGGGGAUGUUAAUAAUUUGAUAAUAAUAAUAAUAAUUUAGUGUAUUUUUACAUUUUUUAUUACAGCUGCAUAGCUAAUGUUUUUCUUUGGCGUACAAACACUUUUUCAUAUCAAUAUUGUACAUACAUGUGAUUGUAAAAGUUUUGUAUAUUUUGGUUUGGACCAUCGCGGAUUAUCUGUAUUUCCGUACCCCCUUGGUGUUCUCUUUUGCCUGACCUUCGGCUAGAAAGGUAUGUUGUCCUUGGCUCCGAAAUUGUUUAAUAUAAAACCGUCAUAAUGUUACACAAUGUACUGUUAUGCUACCAUAAGUUUGUUACAAUGUGGAUAAUAUAUUUAUGUUAACAAGUUUCACAAAGCUCGCUAACUAGGGUAUCUAUUGUAACUUGUGAGUACUUAAGAUAGUGUUUGAGUGAGUGUCCAUGUGCUUGCGCAGGUGCCUGAGAGCUAGGACUGCGCCAAGGGUUAACAUAAUGUGUGUUGUCUCUUCGUGUGCAGGGCAAAUAAAAAUAUUUCAACUAGCAGACCUUCAGUUGUGGCAGCGUCCUAAUUAAAAGUACGCAACCCAGAAUGAACUACGCUACAUACGCACUACCUUCUGUAAUGCGUUGCGGAUGGAGGCCGAGCAGUUGCCAUAACAGGCAGUGAUGCCCUCGAUGGUGCAGCUGUAGAACUUUUUAGGAUCUGAGGACCCAUGCCAAAUCUUUUCAGUCUCCUGAGGGGGAAUAGGCUUUGUUGUUCCCUCUUCACGACUGUCUUGGUGUGUUUGGACCAUGAUAGUUUGUUGGUCAUAUGGACACCAAGAAACUUGAAGCUCUCAACCUGCUCCACUACAGCCCCCGUCGAUGAGGGGCGUGCUCGGUCCUCCUUUUCCUGUAGUCCACAAUCAUCUCCUUUGUCUUGAGCAUGUUGAGGGAGAGGUGGUUGUCCUGGCUCCGUACGACCAGGUCUUUGACCUCCCUAGCACAGCCAUUGAAGAGGAGUGGAACAACAUCCACAGAUCAACUCUAUGCUAAGGAGAUGUCUAGCUGCAUGAGGCAAAUGGUUGUCACACCAGAUACUGACUGGUUUUCUGAUCCACGCCCCUACCCUUUUUAAGGUAUCUGUGACCCACAGAUGCAUAACUUUAUUCCCAGUCAUGUGAAAUCCAUUGAUUAGGGCCUCAUGUAUUUAUUUAAAAUGACUGAUUUCCUUAUAUGAACUGUAACUCAGUAAAAUCUUUGAAAUUGUUGCAUGUUGCAUUUAUAUUUUUGUUCAGUGUAAUUUGCUCAUCCGUAUUGACAUAGAUGUUAUUUUAUGUAAAUAUGUUGUGCUAUGGUCCAUAUUCUAGCAUUUACUUGCUGACUGU